UGAGUAUAGCAAGGAUGUUUAGUAUAUUUAGCAAAGAGGCAAUCAAACAAUAUUUGACUGUAGUAGCCACAAACUAAUAAAGGCAGUUAUGAACACAUGAAGUAGCUGAUAAAGUUUUAUUGGAAUUAGCAUAUAAACACCGUAGUUCCACAUCAGAGCUCAUCUGACCCACUAGUAAGCCAACACAUAUGAUUACCACUUCACCACUUUCUUUUCGCUAACUAGCUCCCCGUGAGGUGGCGUUGCAAUAAAGGAAGUGUAAACAUUAGACAACUCUUUACAGGAAGUGUUUAGGAAGGCUGUGCAAGACAAAUGCAGGGAGGUGUGACUAGUGUUGCAUAAACAAAGAUUUAAAUUCUAAAUGGCAGAAAAUUGAGUAGUGACACCGCAGGGCCAUGACCUAUACACCAAAACGGCUUCAGUAAGCUGUGGUUGUUCUGUGACUAUAGUGUCCCUUUAUGUUAAUGUUAAAAUGUUAAUUCACAAUCAAAACACUGUUUUAAGUAUUUUUUAUGAAAAAAUUAAAAAGAAGACAAAAAAACUAUACAAAUCAAAGAGCAAUGAGUAGAGGCAAGGAUGUUUUGUAAAACUAGCAAAAAUGCAAUCAAACAAUAAUUGACUGCAGCACGCAUAAACAAAUAAAGGCAGGCAUGAACAAACGAAGUGGCUGAUAACAUUUUAUGGGAAUUAGAAUAUAAACGAUGUAGUUCCAAAGCUCAUUUGACCCACUAGUAAGCCAACACAUAUUGUUACCACUUCACCACUUUCUUUUCGCUAACUAGCUCCCCGUGAGGUGCCGUUGCAUCAGGCGGCAGGAGAGCCAGAUAAACGGGAGUCUCGGCACCUUCAUCUGGAGACUUUGGAGCAUUUGGACCGGCCAUAUCGGUUCUCACCCACCCUGGGCAACAGGCAUUAAGUAUUAUUCCAUCCCCUUUCCUCGUUGCGUCUAACUCUCUUGCUUGGAUCUUGGAGAGCACAGUCACUCCUAUUUUAGAUGUUCCGUAAGCAGUGUUUGGCCAACCUUCUUUUUGAUGUAUGUCUUGCUUGGCAUCUUCUACAAACUUUUCCAUAAGUUUGACCAGUUCCUCCUCUGUGAUCGACUCACUGCGAAAGACCUUCUGUAACUCUGGGCUGCAACGUCCCAAAGAAUUGUAGCUAACUAUGCUGGAAACAUUGACCACUCUCCCUAAGGGAACAGAAACAUUGAUUAUAUUAUUAACAUUACUGCAGUUCUACAGCACUCUCAGCGGUAAGAGGAGGCUCAGGAUUCUCUGUGCA
rnacentral:lncRNA from 1 species